rnacentral:rRNA from 1 species
AGGACGAACGCUGGCGGCGUGCUUAACACAUGCAAGUCGAGCGGUAAGGCCUUUCGGGGUACACGAGCGGCGAACGGGUGAGUAACACGUGGGUGAUCUGCCCUGCACUUCGGGAUAAGCCUGGGAAACUGGGUCUAAUACCGGAUAUGACCUCCUAUCGCAUGGUGGGUGGUGGAAAGAUUUAUCGGUGCAGGAUGGGCCCGCGGCCUAUCAGCUUGUGUGGGUAAUGGCCUACAAGGCGACGACGGUAGCCGACCUGAGAGGGUGACCGGCCACACUGGGACUGAGACACGGCCCAGACUCCUACGGGAGGCAGCAGUCGGGGAAUAUGCACAAUGGGACGAAAGCCUAGGACUGCGAGCGACGCCGCGUGAGGAUGACGGCCUUCGGUUGUAACCUCUUC